AAGCCCCGUAACGAACGCAACCCUUGUCCUCAGUUACCAGCGGUUCGGCCGGGAACUCUGGGGAGACUGCCGGUGACAAACCGGAGGAAGGUGGGGAUGGCGUCAAGUCAUCAUGGCCCUUAUGGGCAGGGCUACACACGUGCCACAAUGGGCGGUACAAAGGGCAGCCAACCCGCGAGGGGGAGCCAAUCCCAUAAAACCGUUCGUAGUCCGGAUCGGAGUCUGCAACUCGACUCCGUGAAGUCGGAAUCGCUAGUAAUCGCAGAUCAGCAUGCUCGCGUCGAAUACGUUCCGGGCCUU
rnacentral:rRNA from 1 species